UAUGCCUUGCUGCCUGAAAGCUGAUGAUGUUUACACACUGGACACGUUUGUGUGAUGGGCCAGCUGGGCGCGCUCCAGAGAAAACAGAAUCAAAAGAAAAGAUGGAAUUUGAGAGCUGAGCUGUUGGACUGUUAGCAGACAGGAAGAGWCGAGGAAAUGCAAGCAGCUGAUUGGACGACAGUCUUCAGUUCUCAUGAUGACAGGAAGUGGGAUUUUAUUCGUUUCUUCUCACAUUUAUAUCAGACUGGGAACUCUUAGAGCAGAUUAUAAAAAACUGCUUUAGCCCAUUAAAGUCAAAUAUUUAUAUCUGA